GAUGAACGCUGGCGGCGUGCCUAAUACAUGCAAGUCGAGCGAACAGAUAAGGAGCUUGCUCCUUUGACGUUAGCGGCGGACGGGUGAGUUACACGUGGAUAACCUACCUAUAAGACUGGGAUAACUUCGGGAAACCGGAGCUAAUACCGGAUAACAUAUUGAACCGCAUGGUUCAAUAGUGAAAGGCGGCUUUGCUGUCACUUAUAGAUGGAUCCGCGCCGUAUUAGCUAGUUGGUAAGGUAACGGCUUACCAAGGCAACGAUACGUAGCCGACCUGAGAGGGUGAUCGGCCACACUGGAACUGAGACACGGUCCAGACUCCUACGGGAGGCAGCAGUAGGGAAUCUUCCGCAAUGGGCGAAAGCCUGACGGAGCAACGCCGCGUGAGUGAUGAAGGUCUUCGGAUCGUAAAACUCUGUUAUCAGGGAAGAACAAAUGUGUAAGUAACUGUGCACAUCUGGACGGUACCUGAUCAGAAAGCCACGGCGAACUACGU
rnacentral:rRNA from 1 species